AAUAGCUAUCAAACGCAAUGAUAGGUGUAUAACCAUCUUUCCAACCCUGUUUUAAUGCAUGGAAGCAAACAUAAAACUUACUGAACCUAGGGUUUUCUUCACUAGAAUUAGGCUUAUGUUCCUUACAAAACAUGUACUACCUGAACUAGAUCUAAGAAUCUCAUUCACAUAAUCAUGGAUCUUUACAUAUUCAACCUUAUAGUCCCCCAUUGUUUUCCUUAAGACUUUCAGCUUAGCCCUUUUACAAACUGUUAAUCCUACUUUAACCUUCAACUCUUGCCACACUAACUAUUGUAUUUCUCUAAUUUUAAUUCUAGGUUGUGAUACAAUUCUUUUCUCAAAAUGAAUUGCAAUAUAUGCAUAAGUAUAAAGCCUAUUCUUGUUUGUCCUUGUACACUUAUGCCUUGGAUUGUAUGUCUUGAUUAUAAAAUUAUUUGUGCUCUUUUCUAUUCUCCCAAACAAUAGCCAAGGACAACUUGGUUUUUCAUAUUUGGCUCUAACUCUGUGAUUUUCAUUAGGCCUUAAUUCCAAUGACACCCUCUUGAUGACUAUAUAUUUUGCUGGUGCUUUCCUAAAUUGCACAACAUUCUCAAAUAUUAUAGCUAGCUCCAAUAUUGGCCUAACUAUGCUUGGAUCAUAAUACACUUUAGUGCUUUGUUUCCUUAUAGUAGCUUCUUCAUCACUUACCUCUUCUUCUAUACUCUCUGGAUCAGAACUGUCGAUGUAAUGUCCAUCUCUUCCAACCUUUCCAGCAUACUUGUUCCUUCCAAAUUCAUUAUACUCAUACCUUUCAUCAUCCCCUGUCUUACCAAUAGGGAUUUCAUCAACAUUUUCUUCUUGUACAGCAGGACAUGGUCCACUCUUCUUAUACCUUUUCAGUCUUGCUUUAUCUUCUUACACUUCUUUAUUAGCAUCACUAUCUCCCAAAUCAUUAUAUCUAACAUUAUUCUCUUCUCCACUCUCUACACAUUCUUCAUCUGAUUUGGAUUUGUUCACUGACUUUAUUUUCAACUAUAUUCUCAUCUUCAGAACUGCUACCACUCUCUACAAUAAUAUCUUCUCCUGUUUCUAUGCCCUCUCCUCAGUAUUUUUCUCUUCCCUAGUUUUAAUGCAUUGUGGUUCAUCUAUGUUAAUCUAUGUUAUGAGCAAUAAAUAAAUCCAGCACCUCACCAUCACUUAGCGCUUGACAGAACUCUAAAACUUCACUAUCAUUCCAUAAUAACUUAAAUUGGUUAUUAGAUAACUCACCUUUAUAGUAUACAGCUGCCACAUUCAAAUACCCUAAGUCUUUAGCAUACCCAUAAAAUUCGCACACAUAAAGCAAAUCUAUAUCCACACACGGUACCAUUUUUACUUCUCCUCGAACAUAACUUGGGUUUGGUGCAUUUACAAUUUUGCCACCAUAAUGCCAUGUUAAUGUCACUAAGGUCCUCAUCCAACCUAUACACAAAAGGAAACAAAAACCUUACUUACAAAAUUGUGGGACCAUUAAACCAUUUGUUUAUUACUUUUUCUAUAAAGAAUGGCUUUGCAUUGCAGUAAAUUCCAAAAAAAAAGAAAAAUUCUCAUUGAAAUACCAAAACAACAAAUGAGAAAGAUGAGUAAAAUAAAAAAUAAGAUAAUGACAGAAAGUUGUAAUUUGCACUAACCUGGACAACG
rnacentral:lncRNA from 1 species